GACGAACGCUGGCGGCGUGCUUAACACAUGCAAGUCGAACGGAAAGGCCCUGCUUGCCGGGUACUCGAGUGGCGAACGGGUGAGUAACACGUGGGUGAUCUGCCCUUCACUUCGGGAUAAGCCUGGGAAACUGGGUCUAAUACCGGAUAGGAGCCAGUUUUAGUGUGAUGGUUGGAAAGUUUUUUCGGUGUAGGAUGAGCUCGCGGCCUAUCAGCUUGUUGGUGGGGUAAUGGCCUACCAAGGCGGCGACGGGUAGCCGGCCUGAGAGGGUGGACGGCCACAUUGGGACUGAGAUACGGCCCAGACUCCUACGGGAGGCAGCAGGGGGGAAUAUUGCACAAUGGGCGCAAGCCUGAUGCAGCGACGCCGCGUGGGGGAUGACGGCCUUCGGGUUGUAAACUCCUUUCGCUAGGGACGAAGCUUUUUGUGACGGUACCUAGAUAAGAAGCACCGGCUAACUACGUG
rnacentral:rRNA from 1 species